UACAAAUAGAAUGGUAGAUAUGGUUAUGAAUGUGGUUGAUCAUGAAUUUAACUAAGAUGUGGAGGACCAUCCAAAAAUUGGCAACAACGAUUUCUAUCAUAUAUUGAGAGAUGCUAAUGAACCACUAUAGUCAAGAUGUGAAAUACACAUUGUAUUAUUAGCUAUGUUAGAGUUGUUGAACUUGAAUGCUGAGUUUAAUAUAAUAGUCAAUUGUUAUGAU
rnacentral:lncRNA from 1 species